GACGAACGCUGGCGGCGUGCUUAACACAUGCAAGUCGAACGGAAAGGCCCUGCUUUUGUUGGGUGCUCGAGUGGCGAACGGGUGAGUAACACUUGAGUAACCUUCCCUUGCCUUUGGGAUAACUUCAGGAAACUGGUGCUAAUACCGGAUAGUAGCUCCUGCUGCAUGGUGGUGGUUGGAAAGUUUCGGCGGUUGGGUAUGGACUCGCGGCUUAUCAGCUUGUUGGUGGGGUAGUUGCUUACCAAGGCUUUGACGGGUAGCCGGCCUGAGAGGGUGACCGGCCACAUUGGGACUGAGAUACGGGCAAGAGUCAUACGGGAGGCAGCAGUGGGGAAUAGUGCAAAAUGGGCGGAAGCAUGAAGCAGCAACGCCGCGUGCGGGAUGACUGCCUUCGGGGUGUAAACCGCUUUAGCCUGUGACGAAGAGUGAGUGACGGUAAUGGGUAAAGAAGCACCGGCUAACUACGUG
rnacentral:rRNA from 1 species